rnacentral:rRNA from 1 species
UAACAAGGAUUCCCCUAGUAACUGCGAGUGAAGCGGGAAGAGCUCAAAUUUAAAAUCUGGCGGUCUUCUGGCUGUCCGAGUUGUAAUCUGGAGAAGCGUUUUCUGUGUUAGACCGUGUACAAGUCUCCUGGAACGGAGCGUCAUAGAGGGUGAGAAUCCCGUCCAUGACACGGACAACUAAUACUUUGUGAUACGCUCUCGAAGAGUCGAGUUGUUUGGGAAUGCAGCUCAAAAUGGGUGGUAAAUUCCAUCUAAAGCUAAAUACAGGCGAGAGACCGAUAGCGAACAAGUACCGUGAGGGAAAGAUGAAAAGCACUUUGGAAAGAGAGUUAAACAGUACGUGAAAUUGUUGAAAGGGAAACGCUUGAAGUCAGUCGCGUUGUGCAGAACUCAGCCUUGCCUCGGCUUGGUGUACUUUCUGCACAACGGGUCAACAUCAAUUUUGGCCCAUGGAGAAAGGUGGGGGGAAUGUAGCGCUGUUUCGGCAGCGUGUUAUAGCCCCUCUUGUAUACAUGGGCUGGGAUUGAGGAACGCAGCACGCCCUUGUGGCCGGGGGUUCGCCCUACGUACCGUGCUUAGGAUGUUGGCAGAAUGGCUUUAAGCGACCCGUCUUGAAACACGGACCAAGGAGUCUAACAUGCUUGCGAGUAUUCGGGUGGAAAACCCUUGUGCGUAAUGAAAGUGAAAGUUGGGAACCUCCGCAAGGGGGUGCACCGACGCCCGGCCCUGACGUUCUCUGACGGUGCUGCGGUAGAGCAAGUAUGCUAGGACCCGAAAGAUGGUGAACUAUGCCUGAAUAGGGCGAAGCCAGAGGAAACUCUGGUGGAGGCUCGUAGCGAUUCUGACGUGCAAAUCGAUCGUCAAAUUUGGG